rnacentral:rRNA from 1 species
AUUGAACGCUGGCGGCAGGCUUAACACAUGCAAGUCGAGCGAGUGGCGGACGGGUGAGUAAUGUCUGGGAAACUGCCUGAUGGAGGGGGAUAACUACUGGAAACGGUAGCUAAUACCGCAUACCAUCAGAUGUGCCCAGAUGGGAUUAGCUAGUAGGUGGGGUAAUGGCGCACCAGGGCGACGAUCCCUAGCUGGUCUGAGAGGAUGACCAGCCACACUGGAACUUAGAACCGGUCCAGACUCCUACGGUAGGCAGCAGUGGGGAAUAUUGCACAAUGGGCGCAAGCCUGAUGCAGCCAUGCCGCGGGUAUGAAGAAGGCCUUCGGGUUGUAAAGCACUUUCAGCGAGGAGGCGUUACUCGCAGAAGAAGCACCGGCUAACUCCGUGCCAGCAGCCGCGGUAAUUC